CCCGAUUCAGCCGCCGCCAACCACACGUGGUAUCCUCCUUGAUUUCCCCUCCUGCCCAAUCCUGUGGAGCCUCCUCGCUUGACAGUGCCCGAGGCCACCUCCUCUGCUCGAUCCCAGGGGAAUCACAAGUAGCUCAUCCCCGGCAACCAGAUCGCUGGACGUGUCUAGCUCCCAGCAGACGCAAGCGCUCGCCCCGAACUCCUUGAUUCGCCGAGCACGAGCACCACCUCAUGAACGCCUCUUCGGUCGGCCGCCCUGCAGGAGCUUCAUCUGCGCCACCGUCCGGCCGUCGGACCAGCAUGUCCCCAGCUCAUGUCUUUUUUCCUUCUUGGUUCUCCUUCCUCCUACCCUUCUUCCUCCCCUUCUCUCAUGUCUCUCUUGCUCUAUUGCAUCAGGUUCCAGCCAGGGAGUAUGCCAUGAAUGGCUGGCCUUAAGCUUGUGUGGUGAGUCCCUCAAUCACCGGGAACGAGACCAAUGCCUCAAGAUCCGGCGCCCCAAGGCCUCGAUCCGGUUCGUCCCCGUCGCCUUCGGCCAGGACCUCAUCACCCUCGCCGUCCCCGUGUAGUUCUUGCCGGAUCACGCCUCUGCUUCGCCACUGACCAUCGACCCCGAGCCCCUGGUGAGCGCCCUGCCUACAACCCGCUUUGCUUCAUCGCUUGCACGCGAGACGAGCCAGCCCCCCGUAGCUCAUUUGCAUGCACGCACGCACGCACGCACCAACACACAUUCCCGCACGCCCGCAGCUGCUCUGCAUCGUUGUGAAGGCUUGGCCUUGCCCAGCUUAAGAAGCAGCGUCUAGCCUCUAAACACUCGCUCACAGCAAGCCUAGUUGGCUAGCAAGCCAGUCUUCCUUCCAAGAGAUAGUGGGUUCGAUUCCUAGUGAGCACACAUUUUACUCUAUUUUGGUAUUUUUUUUCCUAGAUUUGUUCCCCAUUUAGGGGAUACUAAGGUCCUGUUUCAUACUACUUUGGUCCUUAAAAUUCAUCUUUCUUCCACAAAAGACAAGCCAAACGAGGUAACUCCACGAUAUGCUGCUCCAUAAAAAAACUAGAAUGUGGGGUACAACUUCAAAGUUUUUAUGAAGCUCAAGAGGGUGCUUCAAAUAACUCUAAAAGUUGGAGUUGGGGGAAAAUUACCCACCACUGCCACCAGUAAGUGGAUACCCCUUCAUUUCUUUCUCCUCAACCAAUCAAAUAGAUUUUUUCCACCAAAAUUUCUAUUCUUGAAGCUGGAGCUACAUAGAAGCCAAACAUUCUCUUGAUAGUGCUAUAGCUUUUGUAUGAAACUACUCUAAAGUGAAUUUGAUGAAGUGAAACUGGUUUUGGUGAAUUGAAGCAGUCCUAAACAGGCCCUAAGAAAUGGAUUUAUGUUAGGACUCGAGCCCCAGUCGGAGAGGCUAGUACCUAGCGUGUCCAUUCAAGAGGUUUGGGAUCGAAACCCAAAGCCACCCCUAUUUUUUUUUUUCUUGUUCUGCUAUAUUUGUUAUUCCCUCUCGUUUUGCACUCAGUCAGUUCCUUGGGCCGAUUUCAGCCUUGGGUCGUUACACUACGUUGCAAUUCAGUCCAUGUAUAUUUCUUUCCACCUACAGUUUGCUAUUUGUUUCUUUAGAAAAACCAUUGAUUUUAAAAUGCUUGUACUGUGGUGAAUAACUUGUGUUGAUUCUUGUUUCCGGUUUGCUUCGUCUCGAUAGAGUUCCGUAAGCAUGUCGGAAUGUGAUGAUCCAUUCGACUACAUCGAUUCGUCUGCUUCACGGAGUCGUUCUUCUUCCAAGCGGGAUCAUAGGCANNNNN
rnacentral:lncRNA from 1 species